rnacentral:rRNA from 1 species
AGUGAACGCUGGCGGUAGGCCUAACACAUGCAAGUCGAACGGCAGCACAGUAAGCGCUUGCUCUUACGGGUGGCGAGUGGCGGACGGGUGAGGAAUACAUCGGAAUCUACUUUUUCGUGGGGGAUAACGUAGGGAAACUUACGCUAAUACCGCAUACGACCUACGGGUGAAAGCAGGGGAUCUUCGGACCUUGCGCGUUUGAAUGAGCCGAUGUCGGAUUAGCUAGUUGGCGGGGUAAAGGCCCACCAAGGCGACGAUGCGUAGCUGGUCUGAGAGGAUGAUCAGCCACACUGGAACUGAGACACGGUCCAGACUCCUACGGGAGGCAGCAGUGGGGAAUAUUGGACAAUGGGCGCAAGCCUGAUCCAGCCAUACCGCGUGGGUGAAGAAGGCCUUCGGGUUGUAAAGCCCUGUUAUUGGGAAAGAAAAGCAGCAGGUUAAUCCACCGCUGUUCUGACGGUACCCAAAGAAUAAGCACCGGCUAACUUCGUG